GUGUUGUUUGUUAAGGGCACACGGUGGAUGCCUUGGCAUUAUGAGCCGAUGAAGGACGUGUAAGGCCGCGAUAGGCCUCGGGGAGUUGCCAAUAGAGCGUUGAUCCGAGGGUGUCCGAAUGGGGAAACCUGGCCAUGGUUAUGUGUGGUUACCCAUCAGUGAAUUCAUAGCUGGUGUGGGGGUGACGCGGGGAAGUGAAACAUCUCAGUACCCGUAGGAGAAGAAAAUAAUUAAUGAUUCUGCUAGUAGUGGCGAACGAACGUGGAUGAGGCUAAACCGUAUGCGUGUGAUACCUGGCAGGGGUUGCGUGUGUGGUGUUGUGGGGCGUUGUUGGAGGAGGCUGCCGGCUCCUCGCUUGUUAUAUGUGUGUGUUAGCGGAAGUGGUUUGGAAUGGCCUGCCGUAGUGGGUGAGAGUCCCGUACGUGAAAACAUGUGCAUGCGAGUGGAUGAUGUUCCCGAGUAGCAGCGGGCUCGUGGAAUCUGCUGUGAAUCUGCCGGGACCACCCGGUAAGCCUAAAUACUUAUGAUGACCGAUAGCGGAUAGUACCGUGAGGGAAUGGUGAAAAGUACCCCGGGAGGGGAGUGAAAUAGUACCUGAAACCGUGUGCUUACAAUCCGUCAGAGCCUUGUUGUUAGGUGAUGGCGUGCCUUUUGAAGAAUGAGCCUGCGAGUCAGCGGCAUGUCGCGAGGUUAACCCGUGUGGGGUAGUCGUAGCGAAAGCGAAUCCUAAUGAGGGUGUUUUUAAGUGGCAUGUCCUGGACCCGAAGCGGGGUGAUCUACCCAUGGCCAGUGUGAAGCAGCUGUAAGAGGUUGUGGAGGCGCGAACCCACUUAGGUUGAAAACUGAGGGGAUGAGCUGUGGGUAGGGGUGAAAGGCCAAUCAAACUCCGUGAUAGCUGGUUCUCCCCGAAAUGCAUUUAGGUGCAGCGUUGUGUGUUUCUUGCUGGAGGUAGAGCUACUGGUUGGUUGAGCGGGACUACAAUCUUAGCAAUGUCAGCCAAACUCCGAAUGCCGGUAAUGUUAAGCAUGGCAGUGAGACUGCGGGGGAUAAGCUCCGUUGGUCGAGAGGGAAACAGCCCAGAUCGCCGGUUAAGGCCCCUAAGGGUGUACUAAGUGGAAAAGGAUGUGGGAUCGCGAAGACAGCCAGGAGGUUGGCUUAGAAGCAGCCAUCCUUGAAAGAGUGCGUAAUAGCUCACUGGUCGAGUGGUUCUGCGCCGACAAUGUAGUGGGGCUCAAGUACACCGCCGAAGCCGCGGCAGUCAACAAUUUUUUUGUUGGUUGGGUAGGGGAGCGUCGUGCACUGCUGUGAAGCACCUGGGUGACUUGAUGGUGUGGAGUGUGUGCGAGUGAGAAUGCAGGCAUGAGUAACGAAUGAAAAGUGGAAAACUUUUCCGCCGGAUGACUAAGGGUUCCUGGGUUAAGCUAAUCUUCCCAGGGUGAGUCGGGACCUAAGGCGAGGCCGACAGGCGUAGUCGAUGGAUAACCAGUUGAUAUUCUGGUACCCGUGUAUGUGCGCCCAGUGGUGAAUCAGUGGUACUAACCAUCCAUUGAUCUGCUGGUCAUGCUUUGUGUGUGGUUGGUGGUGAUGUGCGUGGGAUCUUCGUUGGUAGUAGCCAAGUGAUGGGGUGACGCAGUGAGGUAGCUGAGCCAUUUAUUGGAUUGUGGUGUAAGCGUGUGGCCCGUGGCAUAGGUAAAUCCGUGUUACAUAGUGGGUGAGGCGUGAUGCGUAGACCUUUGUGGUUGAUGUUGGUGAUCCUGUACUGUCGAGAAAAGCCUCUAGCGAGUGCAUAUAUGGCCCGUACCCAUAACCGACACAGGUGGUCAGGUAGAGAAUACUAAGGCGAUCGGGUGAACUGUGGUUAAGGAACUCGGCAAAUUGCCCCCGUAACUUCGGGAGAAGGGGGACCAUUGCUGGUGACCGACGUGGUUGAGCUGGUGGUGGUCGCAGAGAAUAGAGGGAAGCGACUGUUUAUUAAAAACACAGGUCCGUGCGAAAACGUGGAAGUUGAUGUAUACGGACUGACGCCUGCCCGGUGCUGGAAGGUUAAGAGGACCUGUUAGGGCAUUUUUUGUCCGAAGCGGAGAAUUUAAGCCCCAGUAAACGGCGGUGGUAACUAUAACCAUCCUAAGGUAGCGAAAUUCCUUGUCGGGUAAGUUCCGACCUGCACGAAUGGCGUAACGACUUCCCUGCUGUCUCAACCACAGGCCCGGUGAAAUUGCAGUACGAGUAAAGAUGCUCGUUACGCGCGGCAGGACGAAAAGACCCCGGGACCUUCACUAUAGCUUGGUAUUGGUGUUUGGUUCGGUUUGUGUAGGAUAGGUGGGAGACUGUGAAGUGGUCACGCUAGUGGUUGUGGAGUCGAAAGUUGAAAUACCACUCUGAUCGGAUUGAGCACCU
rnacentral:rRNA from 1 species